GACAGAGGGUGCAACCGUUGUUCGGAAUUACUGGGCGUAAAGCGCGUGUAGGCUGCUUCGCAAGUCGGGUGUGAAAGCCCUGGGCUCAACCUAGGAAGUGCACUCGAAACUGCGAAGCUAGAGUCCUGGAGAGGAAGGCGGAAUUCUCGGUGUAGAGGUGAAAUUCGUAGAUAUCGAGAGGAACACCGGUGGCGAAGGCGGCCUUCUGGACAGUGACUGACGCUGAGACGCGAAAGCGUGGGGAGCAAACAGG
rnacentral:rRNA from 1 species